UGGAGGAUGAAGGCCUUCGGGUGGUAAACUCCUUUUUUGGGAGAAGAGACAAGGACGGUAUCCCAGGAAUAAGUCUCGGCUAACUACGUGCCAGCAGCCGCGGUAAUACGUAGGAGGCGAGCGUUAUCCGGAUUUAUUGGGCGUAAAGAGCACGCAGGCGGCCGCGUAAGUCGGACGUGAAAGCUCUCGGCUCAACCGAGAGAGGUCGUUCGAUACUGCGCGGCUUGAGGUUGGGAGAGGGGAGUGGAAUUCCCGGUGUAGUGGUGGAAUGCGUAGAUAUCGGGAGGAACACCAGUGGCGAAAGCGACUCCCUGGCCCACACCUGACGCUCAGGUGCGAAAGCGUGGGUAGCGAACGGGAUUAGAUACCCCGGUAGUCCACGCCGUAAACGAUGCGAACUAGGUGUUGGUAGUAUUAAACCUAUCAGUGCCGUAGCUAACGCGAUAAGU
rnacentral:rRNA from 1 species